CAGAGUCACCAUGGAGGGGCCUGGGGAAGAGCAGCAGUGAGCCACUGCCUGGCCCUACAGAGGCUGUGGAUCUUGCAGCGAGUCUUCUGUCCCCAUUUUGUCCCAGGAGAGGGGUCAUUUUCAGAAACUCAUCCCUUGAAGCAGGACAGGUGUUUAUCUGUUUGAGAACUUGCCCCCAGCUACCAUCACCAUGCUCACCCUGGUCAGCAUUAGGCCAGAGCUGAGUGACUUACAAGCAACUCAGGGGACUGGUAGGGACAGAGUUGAGGUAGAGCAGGUGCUGAGAGCUCAAGGAUUCACAAGGAGAGGGGGCAGCCUGCAGGGCCUCCUUGUCCCUGGUGGAGCCAGACCAGUUCAGCAACAUUCCAGAGCAUGCAUCCACGGGGUGAGGGGCACAUUGCCUGGCCUGUGGGCAGGUGUCCAGCAGAUCCCUGGGUCCCAGGGGGUCAGGCUAAAGGCCUCUUGUAGAAAGGCCCAAGGAACAGCCACGGCUGUGGAAUCUGGGUCUAAGAAGCUGCCCAGGGACCCAUCUCAGGGAGAGCAGGACAAGCGGGUUUGCAGUUCACAAUGUCCUGCCCUUGGUUCUGUGCUGGGAGGAGGACCUGUUGUGGAGGAGGCAGGAAUGAAUCUGUUCGCACCAUCAUCCCAGGACUGGACAGAAGCACGGAGACUGGAAGUCUUGUAGGCUGAGGCUUGGGCUGGAUGAAGAUGACACUGGCCCUUCCCUGGCUCUAUGCAACAGUGGACAAUUCUCAGCCUAGUGCAGAUCCUCAGGGCUCUGCCUCCCAGUGAGAAGAUGCUGACCUGUGACAGUGCCCUGAGGUUGAAGCCGUGAGACUCACAUACUCGAAAAUGCAUAAAGAUGUUGAAGAACUGGAGCAAAUAUCAGAGUAAUAGCAAGUUGUGUCCCAAGACACACAUGAGGGUCACUGCCCAGGUGUGGGGAAGAAGUCAACACUGCUGCUGGACUUGAACAAGGUGUCCUGGAGAGCAGAGCUUGGAGAGAUGAGGCCAUGGGAAAUCUCAGCCACCUGGAGGCUGUGAGAAGGGCCAGAGUGCAGAGUGAGGGGUCUAUCCUGACCAAGAGCUAGCCGGGAACAGAAUCAGGUUGGACUAGGAUAUGCAGGGAAUGAAUUGAGGGUAGGUGCCAUCCAAAUUAUGCCCUAUUUUACUACUUGUGAUCUCAUAUGCCUGCCUUUUGUACUUUUUGACUAUUUCAAUCUAUCACAACAGUCAGGAAUGAAUAAUGUAACAAACCCCAAAUUCCAUCCCCACAGUUCCCACAGGUACCUGAAGCAGUCUCUCGUCCCAGGUUCACACACACACACACACAGUGACAAAUAACCUAAAACAAAGCCAAAUGCAUCUGUAGAUAUCUCAGUGUGCAUUAAUAAGUUAGCAUUGUUUUUUAAACACGAGCAUCAUCACCCUUCAAACAUUGGUAUAAUCCUACAAUAUCCAGUCAGUAUUAAUAUCUACUCAACUGCCUUCCAGUCUCUAUCUAUUCCAUCCCAAAGUGGAGAUUUUAUGUAGAGGAGCUAGUAAUAAGCAAGUAAAGUAAAAACUUUCAAAAAUGCUUUAAAUAAUGACAAUUACCAUUGUGCCACUAAAAAUGCUAUACUGAGUUAUAAAUUCAACAAAAUGUUAGGUUAUCAGUCUGCAGAAAAUUACAAAUCACUCAUAACAGAGAUAAAAGAUCUAAAUAAAUGCAGAGUUGGACUAUGUUCUAUGGUUAAGAAGGCUCAGUACUGCUAUCAGCUUUGCCCACUUUGUUGAGUGGAUUCAACCCAAACCCAGUCCAGGUCUCAGCAAACUUUUCAGUAGACAAUGCCAAGUUGAUUCUGCAAUGGACAUGGAAAGCAAAGGGUCUAGAAUAGCUAAAACAAUGCUUAUGCUAGGAGAUAUGUUGGAAGACUCACUUCUUUUUAGAUUUUUCUACUAUACAAGUACAGAGAAAAAGACAGGGCUGUGUUAAAGAAAUGAAAGAUGCAUAGAUCUAUGGGAGAAAAUGGAGAAAUUGUUUCUCCAAUUCAAGUGAUCUUUGACCAAGGGGCCAACAGAACUCAACGGAUCCGAGUUGGUCAUUUUAACAAAUGAUACUGAAAUGAUCUGGCACCACUAUGCAAAGCAAAACACCAAAUUUUCAAUACAUACCUCUAGAAAACUAAUUUAAAAUGGAUCAUGGGUCUAAUUAACUAUGAAAUCAUAAAUAUUCCAUGAAUAUACAGGAUACCACUUCAAUAUCAUGAUGAGUGUUUGUACAGAUUCAAAAGCAUAUUCCAAGAAUGACAGAGAAAAAAUGAUCAAUGGAACUUUAUCGCUUUCACUCUGCCAAAUAUAUUGUAAAGAGAAUAAGUAAAAGGCUACAGAAUGGGUUAUGAUUAGGGAGUGGGAGAAAUACAUAUUUUAUAAAAAUUUAUCUAUUUGAAAGGUGGAAUUACAGAGAGGCAGAGGCAGAGAGACAGAGGUUUUCCAUCUGCUGGUCCAUUCCUAAGAUGGCCACAAUGUCUGGAGCUGCUCCAAUCCAAAGCCAGGAGCCAGGAGGUUCCACCAGGUCUCCCAUGGGGGUUCAGGGGCCCAAGGACUUGGGACAUGUUCUAUUGCUUUCCCAGGUUGUAGCAGAGAGCUGUAUCGGGAAAGGAGCAGCCUGGACUCGAACAGGAGCCCAUAUGGGAUGCUGGUGUUUCAGGCAACCAGGCAGCAGCUUUACUUGCUACUCCACAGUGCUUGGCCUGGCAGAAAAUACUUACAAAAUAUACAGCUAAUGAAGGACUUGUAUCCAUAUUAUACACUGAACAAUUAAAAUUUAAUGAGAAGGGGCUAGCACAGUAGUUCAAUAGGCUAAGCCUCUGCCUGUAGUGCCAGCAUCACAAAUUGGCACUAGUUGGUGUCCUGGCUGCUCCUCUUCCAAACUGGCUCUCUGCUAUGGCCUAAGAAAGCAGUAGAAGAUGGCCCAAGUGCUUGAGCCCCUGCACCCAUGUGGAAGACCUGGAAGAAGCUCCUGGCUCCUGGCUUAGGAUUGACUUAGCUCUGGACGUUGCAGCCAUUUGGGGAAUGAAACAGUGGAUAGAGGAUCUUUCUCUCUGUCUCUCUCCUUCUCUGUCUGUAAUUCCACCUCUCAAAAAAUAAAUAGAAUCUAAAAAAUUUUUAAUGAGGAAAAAGGUGACCCCUCCACCCUACAACUGGCACAGUAUAUAAAAGGACACUACCUCCAACAAGCACAAGAAAAUAGUAUACUGAGUGUUAACAGCAUGAUGAAAUAUCAUGGCAAGUCUAUUUGAGUAAAAUCAACAGAACUAGUAGUAGUAAAUGUUGAAAAAAAUGUGGAGUAACAGAAACAUGCAUUUACUGAAGGAAGGAAUUCAAAACAGAACAGGAACCUGUAAGAAUAUUUGACAAUUUCUUACAAAAGCACACAAACAGUAUCAGACUCCAAAUGUGAAUCUCUAUGCACUCAAUUGACUUGGAAAAAAAGCACACAUAAAAACUGCAUGCCAUAUUCACUGUCCUAUUCACAAUCACUAAAAACUGUAAACUGGAUGAUCUUCAUGAGGGAUGAAUAUGCAAGCUGUACCAGAUCCAUAAUGAGGAACAGGAUUCAGUGAGAAAGAGGAACAAGCCAUGAAGUCAUGUGAUGACCGGGCUGAAUUUCAGGUACAUUUUUCUAAGAGCAAGAAGCCAUACCCUAAAAGCUACAUGCUGAUUCAACUCAUAGGGCAUUCUGGGAAAAGGCCAAACAAUAGAUACAGAGAACACACAAAUGAAUGGUUGUCAGUGCCCAGUGGAUUUCAGAGUUUGACUGCAAAGGGCCACACAGAGAUGUUAUAGGCAAAGGAGCUGCUACUUCAGUUGUUGGACUGGUGGUUAGGAGACACUCACAUGAGGGUUCAAACCAUUGGUGGUUAGGAGACACUCCCAUGUGGGUUCAAAUCACUGGUGGUUAGGAGACACUCUCACAGUGGUUCAAACCAUUUAUGGUUAGGGACACCCAUGUGGGUUCAGACCCUUGCAUCUGUACCUCCCACACACUGCUCAUAUAGAUAAAAAAAAUGCACCCAAUGUGCACCUGAGGUUCAUUUCAUUAUAUGUAGAUUUUACCCCAAAGCUCAACAAAUGUCAAUGUUCCCUGAAGGUCUCACUCUUUGUUGGUAGAUGGUCACAAUAGGACUUUAGUGCUUCUCUCAGAGCUUGUUAGACCUCAGCAGAAAACUGGGCAAACUGUCUUUUCUAUAUUUCCCAGGAGGCAAGUCUCAUUUCCUGUGAUCUUGGUGUAUUCUGCCUAUGGCACUGUGAGUAUUCCAGAUGAGAUUCCCAGGCUAUACUCCAGUUAGGAGGUCUUAUGCCGCAGAGAUGCAAUCAAAACAUGGGAGCUGUCUAAUGCAAAACUGAGACAAAAGGAAUAGAUGUCCAAGCAAGAGGCCUCCCUGGACCUGGUCACAUGUUGUUAAGAAGUGGCACAUUCCUCCUGAACCUGCAUCAACCCCACAGGCUUGGCAGUGUUGGAGGAUGUUUCUCUAGCUAGGUAUAUGUCAACAUACUUUGCCAGGAUCCUGAAACUUGAGUCUGGAUCCUGUAGAUCUCACCAUAUUUAUCACAGUUCACAGGGAGUCCUUGAAUCUGAAUUUCACUCCUUAAGAAAGCCAGUGCCCAAACCUUCCCUUUCAAACCCUUCCCUUGAGGGGGACAGCUGAGGGUAUCUAUAGUCAGUCCUGGGUCUUUGCAAUCUCCUGAGUUACAGCCAGCUAACCUUCCAAAUGCAUUGAAUUUAUGGCUGCAAGGGGCCCUGGGCUGCAAUCAAGGUCGUUUCAUAACUUGUUUGUUCCCAUGGCUCUGGCUGGCCAUGCUAAGGUGCUUCUUCCUUGGGGGUUGUGACUUCAAAGUGCAAGGCUCAAGGCCUGCCAUAGGUGUGGUGCCUGGACUGGCACAAUGGCCUCCUAGGUCCUGGCCUCUGGGAAGAUUAGGUCACCCUUAGUUCUGUCCUUACACCCCAGGCAACCUGAGUGCAGGCUUAGGAGGAGUCUCCCUGGGGUCAUUGAAUAUAGGCAAGUACUCCUACUCUUGAGGUCCAGUGGCAUAGGAGGUUGAGCCCAAGCCUAAGUCUGAGCUUCCCUAAGGCCUCUGGUAGGUCACAUUAGCUCCCCAGAUGAGAUCAGCUUUUCCAGAUGAAGCCAGUGUCUUUUUCAGGUGAGAUGAGACCUUCCAGGUAAGCUUGAGCCUGCCAGGUGAUGCUUGGCCAUGAUGACUUUGGCUCUUGCAGGUAAUAGAGUAUUGCCAGAACAAGAAUGAUGUGGCAGCCCUUCUCCUCAUGUACAUGGAUGAGGACACUGCAUUCUGGGCCCAGGCACGCAUUGUAUAGUAGGUACAUGAUGGUGAUAUGCUUUCUUUCCACCAGGCUGAAUUAUGGCCAAAUGCCUAGCUGAAUGCACCUUCCAAACCCUCCUGGCCCUUGUAUGUCCAAGACAAUCUUCUUAAGGAUGGUCCCACAGCAGAAAGAGCUGGCAGAGAUGCCCCUACUGUGAGUCAGAGUCUUUAUCUCCCCAUUAGCCAAGGGAGCUAUGUUCUGUCUGUGGCCAACCUCUGAGUUCCUCACCCAUACUCCUCAGGACUUCUCCAGACGAUACUUAUGGACCUGCUGACCCUUCUGCCUCACUUUUCUCCAGUCAAUGAACUCAAGGCCAGAGCACAUCCAGAUGGUAGGGUCCCCUAUUCUAGGUCCCCUUAGCCUGACUUGCAAAUCCAAUCAAUACAAUCCUCCACCCAGCUCCCACCCCAAUCUCCAUGACAGCCACCUACAGACCAAGUGAGAUCCAUGUUGUCCCUCAACAGCACCUACCUGCCUCCUCUGUUCCUUUGUCCUGACCAAAUAUCUUGGCUGCUUUAAUGGGUGAGCUCCCUGCCUCCUUGUCCUGUUGCUUUUCUGGAAGACUCUUUCUCUGCCACUGCCUGGGAACAGCUCCUGUCUGCUAAAUGAUCCUCACUGUUACUGAUGCUGAAGGUGCAGACAGAGGACACAGGGAUGUUGUACCUGAUGACUGGCCAGGGAAUGCAAGUGUUCCAACUCACAACAGGUUGGGGACCAUCUGACAUUUUAGCCUCACUGCUGAUGGUGCUUGGAGUGGAUACGGGGGACAUGGGCUGUUGUACCUGAGGACUGGCCCUGGAGUAUAGGUGCUCCUCCCUUUUUUUCAAUACCCCACUUUUAUUUUUUUAACUUUUAUUUAAUGAAUAUAAAUUUCCAAAGUACAGCUUAUGGAUUACAAUGGCUUUUACCCCCCCAUAACUUCUCUCCCAUGCGCAACCCUCCCCUUUCCCACUCCCUCUUCCCUUCCAUUAACAUCAAGAUUCAUUUUCAAUUAUCUUUAUAUACAGAUCAAUUUAGCAUAUAUUAAGUAAACCUUUCAACAAUUUGCACCCACACAGAAACACAAAGUGAAAAAUACUGUUUGAGUACUAGUUAUAGCAUUAAAGCACAAUGUACAGCACAUUAAGGACAGAGAUCCUACAUGAGGAGUAAAUGCACAGUGACUCCUCUUGUUGACUUAACAAAUUGACACUCUUGUAUAAGGCGUCAGUAAUCACCCUAGGCUCUUGUCAUGAGUUGACAAGGCUAUGGAAGCCUUUUGAGAUCACUGACUCUGAUUAUAUUUAGACAAGGUCAUAAUCAAAGGGGAAGUUCUCUCCUGCUUUCAGAGAAAGGUACCUCCUUCUUUGAUGACCUGUUCUUUCCACUGGGAUCUCACUCGCAGAGAUCUUUCAUUUGGGUCAUUUCAUUUUUUUUUCCCAGAGUGUCCUGGCUUUCCAUGCCUAAAAUACUCUCAUGGGCUCUCCAGCCAGAUCCAAAUGCCUCAAGGGCUGAUUCUGAGGCCAGAGUGAUGUUUAGGACAUCUGCCAUCUGCCAUUCUGUGAGUCUGCUAUAUAUCUCGCUUCCCAUGAUGGAUCAUCCUCUCUUUUUUAUUCUAUCAGUUAGUAUUUGCAGACACUAGUCUUGUUCAUGUGAUCCUUCUGACUCUUAGUCCUAUCAUUAUGAUCAAUUGUGAACUGAAACUGAUCACUUGGACUAGUGAGAUGGCAUUGGUACAUUCCACCUUGAUGGGAUUGAAUUGGAACCCCCUGGCACAUUUCUAACUCCACCAUUUGGGGCAUGUCAGCUUGAGCAUGUCCCAAAUUGUACAUCUCCUCCCUCUCUUAAUCCCACUCUUAUAUUUAACAGGGAUCACUUUUCAGUUAAGUUUCAACACUUAAGAAUAAUUGUGUGUUAAUAACAGAGUUCAAACAAUAGUAUUAAGUAAAACAAAAAAAAAAUACUAAAAGGGAUAAAAUAGUAAGUUGUUCAUCAACAGUCAGGGCAAGGGCUGAUUAAGUCACUGUUUCUCAUAGUGUCCAUUUCACUUCAACAAGUUUCCUUCUUGGUGCUCGGUUAGUUGUCACCAAUCAGGGAGAGCAUAUGAUAUUUCUCCCUUUGGGACUGUCUUAUUUCACUCAGCAUGAUGUUUUCCAGAUUCCUCCAUUUUGCUCCAAAUGACUGGAUUUCACUGUAUUUUACUGCUGUAUAGUAUUCUAUAGAGUGCAUGUCCCAUAAUUUCUUUAUCCAGUCUACUGUUGAUGGGCAUUAGGUUGAUUCCAUGUCUUAGCUAUUGUGAAUUGAGCUGCAAUAAACAUUAAGGAGCAGACAGCUUUUGUGUUUGCCAAUUUAAACUCCUUUGGGUAAAUUCCAAGGAGUGGGAUGGCUGGGUUGUAUGCUAGGAUUAUAUUCAGGUUUCUGAGGAAUCUCCAGACUGACUUCCAUAGUGGCUUGACCAGUUUGCAUUCCCACCAACAGUGGGUUAAUGUCCCUUUUUCCCCACAUCCUCGCCAGCAUCUGUUGUUGGUAGAUUUCUGCAUGUGAGCCAUUCUAACCGAGGUGAGGUGAAACCUCAUUGUGGUUUUGAUUUGCAUUUCCCUGAUUGCUAGUGAUCUUGAACAUUUUUUCAUGUGUCUGUUGGCCAUUUGGAUUUCCUCUCUUGAAAAAUAUCUAUUGAGGUCCUUGGCCCAUCUCUUGUUUGUUGUUGUGGAAUUUCUUGAUUAUUUCUUAGUUAUUAACCCUUUAUCUGUGGCAUAGUUUGCAAAUAUUUUUCUCAUUCUGUCGGUUGCCUCUUCACUUUCCUGUUUAUUUUGCAGUACAGAAACUUCUCAAUUUGAUGCAAUCCCAAAUGUUAAUUUUGGCUUUGACUGCCUGUGCCUCAGGGGUGUUUCCCAAGAAGUCUUUGCCGGUCCCAAUAUCUUUCAGGGUUUCUCCAAUGUUCUUUAAGAAUUUGAUGGUGUGUGUCAGGUCAUAGAUUUAGGUCUUCAUUCCAUGUUGAGUGGGUUUUUAUGUAAGGUGCAAGGUAGGGGUCUUGCUUCAUGCUUCUGCACAUGUAUAUCCAGUUUUCCAAGCACCAUUUAUUGAAUAGACUAUCCUUACUCCAGGGAUUGGUUUUGGAUCUUUGAUAAAAUAUAAGUUGGCUGUAGAUGUUUGGGUUGAUUUCUGGUGUUUCUAUUCUGUUCCAUUGGUCUAUCCAUCUGUUUCUGUACCAGUACCAUUCUGUUUUCAUUACAACUGUCCUGUAGUAUGUCCUGAAAUCUGGUGUUGUGAUGCCUCCAGCUUUGUUUUUGUUGUACAGGUUUGCUUUAGCUAUUCGAGGUCUCCUGUGUCUCCAUAUGAAUUUCAGCAUCAUUUUUUCUAGAUCUGAAAAGAAAAGAAUGUGUUUGGUAUUUUGAUUGGUAUGGCAUUGAAUCUAUAAAUUGCUUUUGGGAGAAUGGACAUUUUGAUGAUAUUGAUUCUUCCAAUCCAUAAGCAUGGAAGAUUUUUCCAUUUCUUGGUAUCCUCUUCUAUUUCUUUCUUUAAGGUUUUGUAAUUCUCGUCGUAGAGAUCUUUAACGUCCUUGGUUAAGUUUAUUCCAAGGUAUUUGAUUGUUUUUGUAGCUAUUUUGAAUGGGAUUGAUGUUAGAAGUUCUUUCUCAGCUGUGGCAUUGCCUGUGUAUACAAAGGCUGUUGAUUUUUGUGCAUUGAUUUUAUAUCCUGCCACUUUGCCAAACUCCUCUAUGAAUUCCAAUAGUCUCUUAGUAGAGUUCUUUGGAUCCCCUAAAUAAAGAAUCAUAUCAUCUGCAAAGAGGGAUAGUUUGAGUUCUUCCUUCCCAAUUUGCAUCCCUUUAACUUCUUUUUCUUUCCUGAUGGCCCUGGCUAAAACUUCCAGAACUAUUUUGAAUAGCAGUAGUGAGAGUGGGCAUCCCUGUCUGGUACCAGAUCUCAGUGGAAAUGCUUCCAACUUUUCCCCAUUCAGUAGGAUGCUGGCUGUGGGUUUUUCAUAAAUUGCUUUGAUUGUAUUGAGGAAUGUUCCUUCUAUACCCAGUUUGCUUAGAGUUUUCCUCAUGAAAGGGUGUUGUAUUUUAUGAAAUGCUUUCUCUGUAUCUAUUGAGAUAAUCAUAUGGUUUUUCUUCUGCAGUCUGUUAAUAUGGUGUAUCACAUUGAUUGUUUUGCGCACAUUAAACCAUCCCUGCAUACCAGGGAUAAAUCCCACUUGGUCUGGAUGGAUGAUCAUUCUGAUGUAUUGUUGUAUUCUCUUGGCCAGAAUUUUAUUGAGGAUUUUUGCAUCUAUGUUCAUCAGGGAUAUUGGUCUGUAAUUCUCUUUCAAUGCUGCAUCUUUUUCCAGCUUAGGAAUUAAGGUGAUGCUGUCUUCACAGAAAGAAUUUUGGAGGAUUCCCUCUUUUCUGAUUGUUCUGAAUAGUUUGAGGAGAAUUGGAGUUAGUUCUUUAAAUGUCUGGUAGAAUUCAUCAGUGAAUCCAUCUGGUCCUGGGCUUUUCUUUGUUGGGAGGGCCUUUAUUACUGUUUCAAUUUCUGUCUCAGUUAUGGGUCUAUUUGGGAUUUCUAUGUCUUCAUGGCUCAAUUUAGGUAGAUUGCAUGUGUGCAGGAAUCUAUCCAUUUCUGAUAGGUUUCCCUGUUUGCUGGCAUACAAGUCCUUGUAGUAACUUCUGAUGAUUCUUAUUUCUGUGGUGUCUGUUGUUACAUUUCCUAUUUAAUCUCAGAUUUUAUUGAUUUGGGUCUUUUCUUUUUUUAGUUAGUUGGGACAAUGGGUGUCAAUUUUGUUUAUUUUUUCGAAAAAGCAGCUCUUAAUUUGGCUGAUUUUUUGUAAUUUUUUAUGGAUACAAUCCUGUUGAUUUCUUCUCUGUUUUUAAUUAUUUCUCUUCUCCUACUAGAUUUGGGUCUGGUUUGCUGCAAUUUUUCUUGAUCCUUGAGAUGAAUCUAAAGCUCCUUUAUUUGGCGCCUUUCCAAUUUCUUGAUGUAGGCACCUAUUGCUAUAAACUUUCCUCUCAACACUGCUUUUGACAUAUUCUAUAAUUUUUGAUAUGUUGUGUCUUUAUCCUCAUUUACUUCCAGAAAGUUUUUGAUUUCUCUUUUGAUUUCUUGAAUGACCCAGUGUUCAUUCAGGAGCAUGUUGUUCAGUCUCCAUGUGUUUGCAUACUCUCUAGGGAUUCCUGAGUUGCUAAUUUCCAACUUCAUUCCACUUUGAGCUUCUGGUGAUCUCUUAAUGGAAUUUUUUUUCCUUUACCUUCUUUCAUAUUGAUUGCCAUGUUUCUGUGUUUCUGUUUAUAGCACUUCUUUAAGCAUCUUUUGCUGGGCUGGAUGAGUGGCAACAAAUUCUUUGAAUUUGUUUGCUAUGAAAGGUCUUUAUUUCACCUUCAUUCACAAAUGAGAGCUUUGCAGGAUAUAAUAUUCUGAGCUGGCCGUUUUUCUCUCUUAGUACCUGGGCUAUAUCUCGCCAUUCCCUCCUAGCCUGUAGGGUUUCUGAUUUGAAGUCAGCUGUGUGUCUAAUUGGAGAUCCUCUGAAAGUAAUCUGAUGUUUCUCUCUUGCACAUUUUAGGAUCUUUUCUUUAUGUUUCACUGUGGUGAGUUUGAUUACAAUGUGUCGUGGUUUGGAUCUCUUUUGGUCAUGUUUAUUAGGGGUUCUAUGAGCUUCCUGUACUAGGAUGUAUCUGUCCUUCUCCAAACCGGGAAAUUUUCUGUUAGUAUCUUACUACAAAGGCCUUCUAAUCCUUCCUGUCUCUCCAUGCUUUCAGGAACUCCUAGAACCCGAAUGUUGAGUUUUUUAAUAGUAUCCUGUAGAUUCUCGACAAUACUUUUAGAUUUCUAAUUUCCUCUUCUUUUCUUUGGUUUGACUGUAUACUUUCCUGUUCUCUGCCUUCUAAGUGCGAUAUUCUCUCUCUUCUGUUUCACCGACUCUGUUUUUAAGGCUCUC